AGUGAACGCUGGCGGUAGGCCUAACACAUGCAAGUCGAACGGCAGCACAGUAAGAGCUUGCUCUUACGGGUGGCGAGUGGCGGACGGGUGAGGAAUACAUCGGAAUCUACUUUUUCGUGGGGGAUAACGUAGGGAAACUUACGCUAAUACCGCAUACGACCUACGGGUGAAAGCAGGGGAUCUUCGGACCUUGCGCGAUUGAAUGAGCCGAUGUCGGAUUAGCUAGUUGGCGGGGUAAAGGCCCACCAAGGCGCCGAUCCGUAGCUGGUCUGAGAGGAUGAUCAGCCACACUGGAACUGAGACACGGUCCAUACUCCUACGGGAGGCAGCAGUGGGGAAUAUUGGACAAUGGGCGCAAGCCUGAUCCAGCCAUACCGCGUGGGUUAAGAAGGCCUUCGGGUUGUAAAGCCCUUUUGUUGGGAAAGAAAAGCAGCAGGUUAAUACCCCGCUGUUCUGACGGUACCCAAAGAAUAAGCACCGGCUAACUUCGUG
rnacentral:rRNA from 1 species